GACGAACGCUGGCGGCGUGCUUAACACAUGCAAGUCGAGCGGUAAGGCCCCUUCGGGGGUACACGAGCGGCGAACGGGUGAGUAACACGUGAGCAAUCUGCCCUUCACACAGGGAUAACCUCGGGAAACCGAAGCUAAUACCUGAUACGACCACUUCAGGCAUCUGAUGGUGGUGGAAAGUUCCGGCGGUGAAGGAUGAGCUCGCGGCCUAUCAGCUUGUUGGUGGGGUAAUGGCCUACCAAGGCAACGACGGGUAGCCGGCCUGAGAGGGUGACCGGCCACACUGGGACUGAGACACGGCCCAGACUCCUACGGGAGGCAGCAGUGGGGAAUAUUGGACAAUGGGCGAAAGCCUGAUCCAGCAACGCCGCGUGAGGGAUGUCGGCCUUCGGGUUGUAAACCUCUUUCAGCAGGGACGAAGCGCAAGUGACGGUACCUGCAGAAGAAGCACCGGCCAACUACGUGCCAGCAGCCGCCGUAAAAC
rnacentral:rRNA from 1 species